rnacentral:rRNA from 1 species
GUGCCACCGCCGCGGUAAUACAUAGGGGGCAAGCGUUAUCCGGAAUUAUUGGGCGUAAAGGGUGCGUAGGUGGCCAUUUAAGUCUUUGGUGUAAGUGCAGUGCUCAACGCUGUGAUGCUAAAGAGACUGGGUGGCUUGAGUGUGGUAGAGGCAAGUGGAAUUCCAUGUGUAGCGGUAAAAUGCGUAAAUAUAUGGAGGAACACCAGUGGCGAAGGCGGCUUGCUGGGCCAUAACUGACACUGAGGCACGAAAGCGUGGGGAGCAAACAGGAUUAGAUACCCUGGUAGUCCACGCCGUAAACGAUGAGUACUAAGUGUUGGAGAAAUUCAGUGCUGUAGUUAACGCAAUAAGUACUCCGCCUGAGUAGUACGUACGCAAGUAUGAAACUCAAAGGAAUUGACGGGACCCCGCACAAGCGGUGGAUCAUGUUGUUUAAUUCGAUGAUACGCGAAGAACCUUACCAGGUCUUGACAUCCCUUGCAAAGCUCUAGAGAUAGAGUGGAGGUUAUCAAGGAGACAGGUGGUGCAUGGUUGUCGUCAGCUCGUGUCGUGAGAUG